rnacentral:lncRNA from 1 species
GAUUUGGUAGGGUUACAGGACAAUAGUGGAGGGAAGGGCUGCCCGAGCCAGCAGUGGUAAGCUCUUCUGGUCCAUUUACACGCUGUGGAAGCUUUGUUCUUUCGCUUUUUGCAAUAAAUCUUGCUACUGCUCACGCUUUGGGUCCACACUGCCUUUAUGAGCUGUAACACUCACCGCGAAGGUCUGCAGCUUCACUCCUGAAGCCAGGGAGACCACGAGCCCACCGGGAGGAACGAACAACUCCAGACGAGCCGC